rnacentral:misc_RNA from 1 species
UUUCCGUAGGUGAACCAGCGGAGGGAUCAUUAUUGAAUAAACGAGCAAAACGGACUGUGGAUGUUACGAAUUGCCGUGCAGUCCCGAGUGCAGUCGCACGCCGCCAUCUCACCCCAGUGUGCACCGCCGCGUGCGUCCCCCUUGGGCGUGUUCGACGGUAGGCUUACGUCUGCACGCACGCUCUGUAUGCCGUGUAGAAUGAAUUUAAAGUUUUUAAGAACACGCAAUCAAUACAACUUUCAACAACGGAUCUCUUCGCUCUCGCAGCGAAGACGAACG